rnacentral:rRNA from 1 species
UACAGAGGGGGCAAGCGUUGUUCGGAAUUACUGGGCGUGAAGGGCGCGUAGGCGGCCUGUUAAGUCGAACGUGAAAUCCCCGGGCUCAACCCGGGAACUGCGUCCGAUACUGGCAGGCUUGAAUCCGGGAGAGGGAUGUGGAAUUCCAGGUGUAGCGGUGAAAUGCGUAGAUAUCUGGAGGAACACCGGUGGCGAAGGCGGCAUCCUGGACCGGUAUUGACGCUGAGGCGCGAAAGCCAGGGGAGCAAACGGG